AUUUGAUUUACCUUCAUAUAAAAUGUGUUUCAGAACAUCCUUACCAUCAUCGACAACACUCCUGGCCCGAAUAGUAUAGCACCUUUGAAACAUAGGAUCGGUCUGGUACGCUUCUCUACCUGGGCACAGCUCAUCUUCGCCCUGGGGACUCACCCGUUCUACCCACAGAAUGCUGCGGCUAUUGCCGCCGUGCCGAAAGGGUCGGGUGGUCUGACGAAUGUAAAUCAUGCUUUGGCGUUGUGUAGUAUUCAGCUCGGUGCCUCUGGAAAACGCCUAGUCUGGAUAAUGACUGAUGGGGGCUAUAAUUAUGGGGGUGACCCGAGGCCCAGGGCAAAUGUUAUGAAAAGGAAAGGAAUAAUAAUUUGCGUCGUGGCUGUUGGUGACAAUGUCAACUGGACUGUGAUCAGCGACAUUGCCUCUUGGGUGUAUAUCCCGAGCACCCGUCGUUGGGUGAAAUGCGUUAUGAGGUACCACACCUGUGCGGCCUAUUAUCGUGCGUCACUGAUAUAUUAUCCUACACUGCCACGGGUGAAUCAAACAACAGUAAUUCCCGUUACAAAGGCUGCUCCCUAAAUAUGCAGACAGGAGUCCAGCUGCAAAUGUUUGUUUCCGUUAAUUCCUACGAUAUUUGGAACUGAGUAUCACAAGCUGUGAAUGUAUUAAUUAUGACUUUACUGACAAAUUUAUGUUUUCAGAGUUGAACAUAGAAAAAAAAGUUCAAUUUCUGUUACUUUUCAAUUUGAGACCAUAAGCAAUAAAUCAAGAAAUUUGCACAUGUAUAACUUCUUUAUAUCCCUAAUGUAAUUUACUAUACAUCAGCACACACCGAGCGAUUUGAAUAAAACAAUGCGAUAGCUUAAACCUGGUUUUCGGUUUUAAAUAUAUUAUUACUGUACUCAAACUACCAGUGAAUUUAUUUUAUUAUCCGAAAUUUUAAGUUGGGGUUUACCUUCAGUGGUAAUGUCGUUAUUCGUUUAAUUGUAUGCUAUGGAA